CAUUUCCCCAGUUUGCCAGAUCGCUAGUUUCUUAAACUUUUCGUCAGUAAUGUCAAACAAACAAACUGUCCAAACACUCGAUGGGAUUCACGCCAUUUACCGCCAAAAAGCCUUUUGGCCUGAAUUCACAUCCACAAAAUCACACCAGGAUGAAACCCAUCUGUAAAGCAGCUUUAAAAAGAUUGUACGCAAGCAAAAGAUGGCCAGAUUGAGACUUGUGAACUUCACCACUGGGUCCCUCCUUUAAAAUGUUACUCUGCUAAAGUACAUGUGAAUAAAGAAAUAAUUUCAAGACGACAUAACAGUGUCAAGGAAUGAGUGCUGCUCACGUGGGAGAAAAGAGUCCAAAAUGAGAAUCUAUUCAUUUGGGUAUUCACAAUACUAUUGUUCACUUUUAAAUAUAUAUAUAUAUUUUUUUUUUUUUUGCACAAUAUUUUUAUACGUAAUUGCUACAUAUAACAUAGUAAUGUAAUAAGUUGUACUUUCCUUACAGAUUCAGUGAGAUUCUUGCCAAUGUAUGUUUCAUGUCCCAUGUGUCAAUAUAGAUCUGCAAUCAGAAGACC
rnacentral:lncRNA from 1 species